UCCCUCUUUCCCUCUCUCCCUCUCUCCCGCGCCGCCGUCGGGCUCCGGGUUGGGAAGGCCGCGCCGCUGGGGAGCUGCACGCGGGUUUUUAAAAAAAUAAAAAUACCCAAAUCCUUCUCAGCGGGGUUUCUGGCCUCGGGGCGGGGGCGCCGGGGUGGCGCGAGGGCCAAGCCGCUGAAAUCCGGGGGGAAAAUGGCGCGGGGCGCGAUGCUGGCCGCCCCCUCGGGCUGGGUGCAGUGCGGCCUUGGGCAGAAAAGUGGUUUUUACCCUUUUUCCUACUUCCGUGAACGGCCGGUGUAGUGUAACACUGUAUUUUUUACAGGAGGGACACCCCCAACCCCUCGAUAUAUAAUACCGUUUUAUUAAUUACUCAAUUUAAUCAAUUAGGUGCGUGCGGCAGCCACAGGCAGGCUGCGACUUUCCCGCCGUGCCUGUGUGCGCCAUAAAAAGCCUUGAAGCGCUGCUGCUUGCCCGUUUUUCGGGGAGCGCGAGGCCGGCGCGUUGGGCAAGGCCUUGCCGGGCUGCGGUGAGGACGGCGAAGCAGCCAGGGGCUUCAUGGCCCACGCCAACAUCAGCCCGGCAGCCUGUGCCGGGGCAAGCAGGCAGCGGGGGGACGCCAAGCCCAGCCUGGCCGUCCCCGCUCCGCUAGCCGAGCCGUGGGCACCUUCCGGGGUCUGCGGCGGCCAGGUGAGCUGCCCCGGCUCUGGGCCGGCAGCUGUCCGGUGGGUUUUGGCGUCUGCAGACACUGUCUGGAGCGGUUCCUCGCGGCGAGUUCAUUGAAAUGCAGUCCAUGCAGAGCGUUCUCCACUGCCACUGAUGUGUGGAAAUCUCGCAGAACCAAGAAUGUGUUUUCUCCCUGGUAGCUGGUCUUGGGGAAGACAAAAAAAACCUCCUUAUUAGGAGUAAUGGAAAUUUUAGACGCCCAAUGAUACAUGGGGGAAGCCGGUGGUCAACCAGAACUGCGUGCGAGAGGAAGCAAUCAGCAAAAAGUGAUUUGAGGACGCCGUGUCCAGUAUGAAAUCAAGUCCGCUGAUUAAAGAAGCCACAAAGUUUUGAAUACGCCUGUCACUCGCAAACAAGAUCGAUCCGCAGGGAUCGGCACGUCGGCCAGUUCCGGCUCCCUCCCGGCGGGGUCCUGCGGAAGAACGGAGCGCUUCCCCCCGGGAGCCGCCGGCCGGUGCCCCGCAGCUGCCCAGCGUCCCCACGUUGGGGAGCGAGGAGGGACACGCUGGAAGGAGGGAGAGAAGAGGGGAGCCUCGCUCGAGAGGGCCGGGAAAAGCCUGAUAACUACCCGAGCUGGGGAGCACUUUGGUAUCGUAACUUAUUCAUGACCUGUCCUAACGUCAGAGCUGGCCCCACUUUGAGCGGGGGACGGGGCUAAGUGGUUCCCGAGGUCCUUCCAGCCAAAACACGGCGGCGCAGGUACCGGCUCCCCUUGCCCAGGGCUGCCUGGGCCCCCCAGGUGCAGAGCAGGGAUUUGUCAAUGUAGGGACACCCCAGCGCGCACACCACAUCUUGGGUCCCCAAGGAGCUUUCUUGCCCUCGCCGCAGCCCAUAAGGAGCCCGGCUCGCUUGGGCGAGCGAGGUGUCGCCUCGGUGAUGCUACGCGGCUGUGAACUCCAGCAGCAAGCGCUGGAGGGCUGGUUUCUGCUCCCGCCUAACAGGGCAGCCGGGGUGUGGGGGGUCUGGCAUCGCCAGGGGAUAUCACUAGUCCGAGCUACCGGCAAUAAAAUGCCUUGAAUGAUGCAGCAAAACAGACUGGAAUCGCAUGUCGAAAUAAAUCAUCCAUGGAAGCAGUGCACAGAG